rnacentral:tRNA from 1 species
GUGCAUAUAGCUCAGUGGUAGAGUGUGUGCUUAGCAUGCAUGAGGUCCUGGGUUCAAUCCUCAGUACCUUCA